GCAGCAGUGGGGAAUUUUGGACAAUGGGCGCAAGCCUGAUCCAGCCAUUCCGCGUGAGUGAAGAAGGCCUUCGGGUUGUAAAGCUCUUUCAGUAGGGAAGAAAAGGCGCCCUCUAACAUAGCGCGUUGCUGACGGUACCUACAGAAGAAGCACCGGCUAACUACGUGCCAGCAGCCGCGGUAAUACGUAGGGUGCGAGCGUUAAUCGGAAUUACUGGGCGUAAAGCGUGCGCAGGCGGUUAGUUAAGUCAGAUGUGAAAUCCCCGGGCUUAACCUGGGAAUUGCGUUUGAUACUGGCGGGCUAGAGUGCGGCAGAGGGGGGUGGAAUUCCACGUGUAGCGGUGAAAUGCGUAGAUAUGUGGAGGAACAUCAGUGGCGAAGGCGGCCCCCUGGGCCAAGACUGACGCUCAGGUGCGAAAGCGUGGGGAUCAAACAGGAUUAGAUACCCUGGUAGUCCACGCCGUAAA
rnacentral:rRNA from 1 species